GUUAGUUUGUUUUAGUGCGUUGUUUGGUGUGUGUGUGUGUGUGUGCUCCGCAGAGCCGAGGUGGACGUGAAGGUGUCUGCGUAGGCAGCCCCUGCGAGGUACGGGAGAGUGGGGACACGAGCUGCGUACUUCCCUCCCCGGUCAUGGAGGAGCUGAACCACGCCAACGUGAAGGUGGCGGUCCGCCUUCGGCCAAUGAACAGGAGAGAGAGGGAGAUGAAGACUAAGUGUGUGGUGGAGAUGAAUGGAAACCAGACACUGCUUCACCCAGCCAACCUCAACCUCAGUAAGGACGCCAGGUACGGCCCUACCUCCACCCGAGCUCCACCCGACCUCCACCCGGCCU